rnacentral:rRNA from 1 species
UAGGACUAACGCUGGCGGCGUGCCUAACACAUGCAAGUCGAACGAUCUUUGAUUAUAGCAAUAUUAUUAAAGAGGAGUGGCGAACGGGUGAGUAACACGUAGAUAAUCUGCCUUCAGACGGGGACAACUCAGGGAAACUUGUGCUAAUACCCGAUGAGACCACAAGAAGGGAUUUUUGUGGCCAAAGGCGGGCAGCAAUGCUCGUGCUGAAAGAUGAGUCUGCGUCCUAUCAGCUAGUUGGUGGGGUAAAUGCCUACCAAGGCUAAGACGGGUAGCCGGCCUGAGAGGGUGAACGGCCACACUGGGACUGAGACACGGCCCAGACUCCUACGGGAGGCAGCAGUGAGGAAUUUUCCGCAAUGGGCGCAAGCCUGACGGAGCGACGCCGCGUGAGGGAUGACAAGCUUUCGGGUUGUAAACCUCUUUUAUUAAGGAAAAAGAUCUAUAUGCUAAUAUCAUGUAGAUUUGAUGGUACUUAUUGAAUAAGCCCCGGCUAACUACGUGCCAGCAGCAGC